rnacentral:rRNA from 1 species
UACGUAGGGGGCAAGCGUUGUCCGGAUUUAUUGGGCGUAAAGGGCUCGUAGGCGGUCUGUCACGUCGGGAGUGAAAACUCGGGGCUUAACCCCGAGCCUGCUUCCGAUACGGGCAGACUAGAGGUAUGCAGGGGAGAACGGAAUUCCUGGUGUAGCGGUGAAAUGCGCAGAUAUCAGGAGGAACACCGGUGGCGAAGGCAGGUCUCUGGGCUGACACUGACGCUCAUGCACGAAAGCGUGGGGAGCAAACAGG